rnacentral:rRNA from 3 species
AAGUCGUAACAAGGUUUCCGUAGGUGAACUGCGGAAGGAUCAUUGUCG